rnacentral:rRNA from 1 species
UACGUAGGCAGCGAGCGUUGUUCGGAGUUACUGGGCGUAAAGAGUGCGUAGGCGGUUUUCUAAGUUUGGUGUGAAAUCUCCCGGCUUAACUGGGAGGGUGCGCCGAAAACUGGAAGGCUGGAGUAUGGGAGAGGUAAGCGGAAUUCCUGGUGUAGCGGUGAAAUGCGUAGAUAUCAGGAGGAACACCAGCGGUGUAGACGGCUUACUGGACCAUAACUGACGCUGAGGCACGAAAGCGUGGGUAGCAAACAGG